rnacentral:rRNA from 1 species
AUUGAACGCUGGCGGCAUGCCUUACACAUGCAAGUCGAACGGCAGCACGGGGGCAACCCUGGUGGCGAGUGGCGAACGGGUGAGUAACAUAUCGGAACAUACCCUAGAGUGGGGGAUAACGUAGCGAAAGUUACGCUAAUACCGCAUACGAUCUAAGGAUGAAAGUGGGGGAUCUUCGGACCUCAUGCUCAUGGAGUGGCCGAUAUCUGAUUAGCUAGUUGGUGAGGUAAAGGCUCACCAAGGCGACGAUCAGUAGCUGGUUUGAGAGAACGACCAGCCACACUGGAACUGAGACACGGUCCAGACUCCUACGGAGGCAGCAGUGGGGAAUUUUGGACAAUGGGGCAACCUGAUCCAGCAAUGCCGCGUGAGUGAA